rnacentral:rRNA from 1 species
AGAGUUUGAUCCUGGCUCAGGAUGAACGCUGGCGGCGUGCUUAACACAUGCAAGUCGAACGAACCUUCGGGUUAGUGGCGGACGGGUGAGUAACGCGUGAGAAUCUGCCCUCAGGAGGGGGAUAACGGCUGGAAACGGCCGCUAAUACCCCAUAUGCCGAGAGGUGAAAUGAAUUUUCGCCUGAGGAUGAGCUCGCGUCUGAUUAGCUAGUUGGUGGGGUAAGAGCCUACCAAGGCAUCGAUCAGUAGCUGGUCUGAGAGGAUGAUCAGCCACACUGGGACUGAGACACGGCCCAGACUCCUACGGGAGGCAGCAGUGGGGAAUUUUCCGCAAUGGGCGAAAGCCUGACGGAGCAAUACCGCGUGAGGGAUGAAAGCCUGUGGGUUGUAAACCUCUUUUCUCAAGGAAGAAGUUCUGACGGUACUUGAGGAAUAAGCAUCGGCUAACUCUGUGCCAGCAGCCGCGGUAAUACAGAGGAUGCAAGCGUUAUCCGGAAUCACUGGGCAUAAAGCGUCUGUAGGUGGUUUAGUAAGUCUGCUGUUAAAGACUAGGGCUUAACCCUAGGAAAGCAGUGGAAACUACUAGACUUGAGUGUGGUAGAGGUAGAGGGAAUUCCUAGUGUAGCGGUGAAAUGCGUAGAUAUUAGGAAGAACACCAAUGGCGAAAGCACUCUACUGGGCCAUAACUGACACUGAGAGACGACAGCUAGGGGAGCAAAUGGGAUUAGAUACCCCAGUAGUCCUAGCCGUAAACGAUGGAUACUAGGUGUUGCACGUAUUAACCCGUGCAGUAUCGUAGCUAACGCGUUAAGUAUCCCGCCUGGGAAGUACGCUCGCAAGAGUGAAACUCAAAGGAAUUGACGG